rfam:Triticum urartu cultivar G1812 contig434170, whole genome shotgun sequence.
GCUCAGUUGGUGAAGCACAAAGCUCUUAACCUUGUGGACGUGGGUUCAAGCCCCAU